rnacentral:rRNA from 1 species
AUUGAACGCUGGCGGCAUGCCUUACACAUGCAAGUCGAACGGCAGCACGGGAGCAAUCCUGGUGGCGAGUGGCGAACGGGUGAGUAAUAUAUCGGAACGUGCUCAGUCGUGGGGGAUAACGUAGCGAAAGCUACGCUAAUACCGCAUACGAUCUAUGGAUGAAAGCGGGGGAUCGCAAGACCUCGCGCGAUUGGAGGGGCCGAUAUCAGAUUAGGUAGUUGGUGAGGUAAAGGCUCACCAAGCCGACGAUCUGUAGCCGGUCUGAGAGGACGACCAGACACACUGGGGCUGAAACACGGCCCAGACUCCUACGGGAGGCAGCAGUGGGGAAUUUUGGACAAUGGGCGCAAGCCUGAUCCAGCAAUGCCGCGUGCAGGAUGAAGGCCUUCGGGUUGUAAACUGCUUUUGUACGGAACGAAACGGUGAGCUCUAAUACAGUUUGCUAAUGACGGUACCGUAAGAAUAAGCACCGGCUAACUACGUGCCAGCAGCCGCCGUAACAC